rnacentral:rRNA from 1 species
CACGUAGGUAAUCUACCUUUUGGUGGGGGAUAACCAGGAGAAAUUCUGGCUAAUACCGCAUAAGAUGGCAACAUGAAAGGAUGCUUCGGCAUUCGCCGAUAGAUGAGCCUGCGCGACAUUAGCUUGAUGGUGGGGUAAUGGCCUACCAUGGCUACGAUGUCUAGCUGGUCUGAGAGGAUGAUCAGCCACACUGGAACUGAGACACGGUCCAGACUCCUACGGGAGGCAGCAGUGGGGAAUAUUGCGCAAUGGGGGAAACCCUGACGCAGCAAUGCCGCGUGAGUGAGGAAGGCCUUCGGU